rnacentral:rRNA from 1 species
AACGAACGCUGGCGGCAUGCCUAACACAUGCAAGUCGAACGAGACCUUCGGGUCUAGUGGCGCACGGGUGCGUAACGCGUGGGAACCUGCCUUUAGGUUCGGAAUAACUCAGAGAAAUUUGAGCUAAUACCGGAUGAUGUCUUCGGACCAAAGAUUUAUCGCCUUUAGAUGGGCCCGCGUUGGAUUAGCUAGUUGGUGGGGUAAAGGCCUACCAAGGCGACGAUCCAUAGCUGGUCUGAGAGGAUGAUCAGCCACACUGGGACUGAGACACGGCCCAGACUCCUACGGGAAGCAGCAGUGGGGAAUAUUGGACAAUGGGCGAAAGCCUGAUCCAGCAAUGCCGCGUGAGUGAUGAAGGCCCUAGGGUUGUAAAGCUCUUUUACCCGAGAUGAUAAUGACAGUAUCGGGAGAAUAAGCUCCGGCUAACUCCGUG